AAUCCUGAAUCCGUGCUGAAAUUUCGUCAGACACCAAACCAUCAGGACUGGUAAGAUUUCCAAGAUAAGUGGAGUG
rnacentral:pre_miRNA from 1 species